GUGAAUCAUCAAAUUUUUGAACGCACAUUGCACCCUCCUCGGAGAGUAUGCCUGUUUGAGGGCCAGCCUCUAAACAUCGACAUCGUUGUUGUUUCGCGGUGGCGCUCGUCGGACAUUGGGUCACUUUAAAUCCUUUUGAUUUUAGCGACUUACACUUUUCUUUUGGUUCCAUGUACGUUUCUAAGCUCUAUUUCUUUACACGUUUAAGGUAUCGAUCUUUACUAGACGUGACCAUCAUAUCGGAUCGCGUCCAUACUCUUUCAUUAUCUGACCUCAGAUA
rnacentral:misc_RNA from 1 species